rnacentral:snRNA from 1 species
GUCAGAUGAACUACUGACAGAGACAUAUACUAAAAUUGGAACGAUACAGAGAUUAGCAUGGCCCCUGCGCAAGGAUGACACGCAAAUUCGUGAAACAUUCCAUAUUAAA